rnacentral:rRNA from 1 species
UAAAAUUUUAUUAAUUAGGUAAUAAAGAAAUUUCUGAAACCUAAAGAAUUUGGCGGUGUUUUAAAUAAUUGGAGGAAUCUGUUGUUUAAUUGAUAAUCCACAACAAAUCUUCCCUUAUUUUUGUUUGUAUAUCAUCAUUUAGAGAUAAUAUUUUAAAAUUAUGGUCAUAAUUAAUUAAAUUCUAUAAAUUAGAUCAAGAUGCAGCAUAAUAUGGUUAUAAUGGAUUACAAUAUUAUUUAAAUAUAUACGAAUAAUAAAAAGAAAAUAUAUUUGAAGGAGGAUUCAAAAGUAAUUCGGAAAUAAUAUGUUCUUUUGAAUAAUAAUUUAAAACAUGC